rnacentral:rRNA from 1 species
AACACAUGCAAGUCGAGCGGAAACGAGUUUUCUGAACCUUCGGGGGACGAUAACGGCGUCGAGCGGCGGACGGGUGAGUAAUGCCUAGGAAAUUGCCCUGAUGUGGGGGAUAACCAUUGGAAACGAUGGCUAAUACCGCAUGAUGCCUACGGGCCAAAGAGGGGGACCUUCGGGCCUCUCGCGUCAGGAUAUGCCUAGGUGGGAUUAGCUAGUUGGUGAGGUAAGGGCUCACCAAGGCGACGAUCCCUAGCUGGUCUGAGAGGAUGAUCAGCCACACUGGAACUGAGACACGGUCCAGACUCCUACGGGAGGCAGCAGUGGGGAAUAUUGCACAAUGGGCGCAAGCCUGAUGCAGCCAUGCCGCGUGUGUGAAGAAGGCCUUCGGGUUGUAAAGCACUUUCAGUCGUGAGGAAGGUGGUAGUGUUAAUAGCACUAUCAUUUGACGUUAGCGACAGAAGAAGCACCGGCUAACUCCGUGCCAGCAGCCGCGGUAAUACGGAGGGUGCGAGCGUUAAUCGGAAUUACUGGGCGUAAAGCGCAUGCAGGUGGUUUGUUAAGUCAGAUGUGAAAGCCCGGGGCUCAACCUCGGAAUAGCAUUUGAAACUGGCAGACUAGAGUACUGUAGAGGGGGGUAGAAUUUC